GUGGGGAAUAUUGGACAAUGGGCGAAAGCCUGAUCCAGCCAUGCCGCGUGUGUGAAGAAGGUCUUCGGAUUGUAAAGCACUUUAAGUUGGGAGGAAGGGCAGUAAGUUAAUACCUUGCUGUUUUGACGUUACCAACAGAAUAAGCACCGGCUAACUUCGUGCCAGCAGCCGCGGUAAUACGAAGGGUGCAAGCGUUAAUCGGACUUACUGGGCGUAAAGCGCGCGUAGGUGGUUUUGUAAGUUGGAGGUGAAAUCCCCGGGCUCAACCUGGGAACUGCCUCCAAAACUGCAUGACUAGAGUACGGUAGAGGGUAGUGGAAUUUCCUGUGUAGCGGUGAAAUGCGUAGAUAUAGGAAGGAACACCAGUGGCGAAGGCGACUACCUGGACUGAUACUGACACUGAGGUGCGAAAGCGUGGGGAGCAAACAGGAUUAGAAACCCGUGUAGUCC
rnacentral:rRNA from 1 species